AUACGAAGGGUGCGAGCGUUAAUCGGAAUUACUGGGCGUAAAGCGCGCGUAGGCGGUUGGAUAGUCGGAUGUGAAAGCCCCGGGCUCAACCUGGGAAUUGCAUUCGAAACUGUCCGGCUAGAGUAUGGUAGAGGGAAGCGGAAUUCCACAUGUAGCGGUGAAAUGCGUAGAUAUGUGGAGGAACACCAGUGGCGAAGGCGGCUUCCUGGACCAAUACUGACGCUGAGGUGCGAAAGCGUGGGGAGCAAACAGGAUUAGAAACCCUAGUAGUCC
rnacentral:rRNA from 1 species